rnacentral:tRNA from 1 species
GCGAGGGUAGCUAAGCCUGGUCAACGGCGUCAGGUUCAGGGCCUGAUCCUUAGUGGUUCGUCGGUUCGAAUCCGGCCCCUCGCA